UCCUACGGGAGGCAGCAGUGAGGAAUCUUGCGCAAUGGGGGAAACCCUGACGCAGCAACGCCGCGUGAGUGAGGAAGGCCCUCGGGUCGUAAAGCUCUGUCAGGUGGGAAGAAAUGUAUGAAGGCUAAUACCCUUCAUAUUUGACGGUACCACCAGAGGAAGCACCGGCAAACUCCGUGCCAGCAGCCGCGGUAACACGGGGGGUGCAAGCGUUGUUCGGAAUUAUUGGGCGUAAAGAGCGUGUAGGCGGUUAGGCAAGUCAGAUGUGAAAGCCCUGGGCUCAACUCAGGAAGUGCAUUUGAAACUGCUUAACUAGAGUAAGAGAGAGGAAAGUGGAAUUCCUGGUGUAGAGGUGAAAUUCGUAGAUAUCAGGAGGAACACCGGUGGCGAAGGCGGCUUUCUGGCUCUAUACUGACGCUGAGACGCGAAAGCGUGGGGAGCAAACAGGAUUAGAUACCCUGGUAGUCCACGCCGUAAACGAUGUUCACUAGGUGUUGGGGGUAUUGACCCCCUCAGUGCCGCAGCUAACGCAUUAAGUGAACCGCCUGGGGAGUACGGUCGCAAGAUUAAAACUCAAAUGAAUUGACGG
rnacentral:rRNA from 1 species